GGCUGCCUGAAGAAGGGACAUGCCAACUUCACUGCUUGAUUUGGAAAAAUGUUGGGAAGGGAUUCUGCAAAAAGCAUCUACCCUGUUCAGUAAUACAGGCUGCUCUAUCAUGUUGCAUUUUCUUUAAUAAUGCUUUCAGAUGUCAGCUGAGCCAAGUUUUCAGGUUACCUAUCAGCUGGACCAGACUUCCUGCUUCUUUGCAACUUGAUUACAUAAAUGUUUUUAGCACUGUUACCUGAAGGAUAAUUCAAGAACAGGAAGAAAAGCAGAGGUUACUGGAGCCAGCUUAAACAACAAUGCUAUUGGGAUGGCCAACCCAAUCUAGAAAAGGAAACCUGCUCUUACUACUAAUCCUUUGUGAAAGUCUACAUCUGUCCACUGGAAAAAAUUAAAUUAUCUAGUAUGA